AUACGGAGGGUGCAAGCGUUACUCGGAAUCACUGGGCGUAAAGCGCGCGCAGGCGGCCCGAUAAGUUGGAUGUGAAAGCCUACGGCUCAACCGUAGAACUGCAUCCAAAACUGUCAGUCUAGAGUCUGGGAGGGGAAGAUGGAAUUAGUUGUGUAGGGGUAAAAUCCGUAGAGAUAACUAGGAAUACCAAAAGCGAAGGCGAUCUUCUGGAACAGUACUGACGCUGAGGCGCGAAAGCGUGGGGAGCAAACAGGAUUAGAUACCCUAGUAGUCC
rnacentral:rRNA from 1 species